AGUGAACGCUGGCGGUAGGCCUAACACAUGCAAGUCGAACGGCCGCACAGUAAGAGCUUGCUCUUACGGGUGGCGAGUGGCGGACGGGUGAGGAAUACAUCGGAAUCUACUUUUUCGUGGGGGAUAACGUAGGGAAACUUACGCUAAUACCGCAUACGACCUACGGGUGAAAGCAGGGGAUCUUCGGACCUUGCGCGAUUGAAUGAGCCGAUGUCGGAUUAGCUAGUUGGCGGGGUAAAGGCCCACCAAGGCGACGAUCCGUAGCUGGUCUGAGAGGAUGAUCAGCCACACUGGAACUGAGACACGGUCCAGACUCCUACGGGAGGCAGCAGUAGGGAAUAUUGGACAAUGGGCGCAAGCCUGAUCCAGCCAUACCGCGUGGGUGAAGAAGGCCUUCGGGUUGUAAAGCCCUUUUGUUGGGAAAGAAAAGCAGCAGGUGAAUACCCCGCUGUUCUGACGGUACCCAAAGAAUAAGCACCGGCUAACUUCGUG
rnacentral:rRNA from 1 species